rnacentral:rRNA from 1 species
ACACAUGCAAGUCGAGGGGCAGCAUUUUAGUUUGCUUGCAAACUAAAGAUGGCGACCGGCGCACGGGUGAGUAACACGUAUCCAACCUGCCGAUAACUCUGGGAUAGCCUUUCGAAAGAAAGAUUAAUACCGGAUAGCAUAGGAUUAUCGCAUGAUAAUCCUAUUAAAGAAUUUCGGUUAUCGAUGGGGAUGCGUUCCAUUAGGCAGUUGGUGAGGUAACGGCUCACCAAACCUUCGAUGGAUAGGGGUUCUGAGAGGAAGGUCCCCCACAUUGGAACUGAGACACGGUCCAAACUCCUACGGGAGGCAGCAGUGAGGAAUAUUGGUCAAUGGACGGGAGUCUGAACCAGCCAAGUAGCGUGAAGGAUGACUGCCCUAUGGGUUGUAAACUUCUUUUAUACGGGAAUAAAGUGGUCCACGUGUGGAUUUUUGUAUGUACCGUAUGAAUAAGGAUCGGCUAACUCCGUGCCAGCAGCCGCGGUAAUACGGAGGAUCCGAGCGUUAUCCGGAUUUAUUGGGUUUAAAGGGAGCGUAGGUGGAUUGUUAAGUCAGUUGUGAAAGUUUGCGGCUCAACCGUAAAAUUGCAGUUGAUACUGGCAGUCUUGAGUACAGUAGAGGUGGGCGGAAUUCGUGGUGUAGCGGUGAAAUGCUUAGAUAUCACGAAGAACUCCGAUUGCGAAGGCAGCUCACUGGACUGCAACUGACACUGAUGCUCGAAAGUGUGGGUAUCAAACAGGAUUAGAUACCCUGGUAGUCCACACAGUAAACGAUGAAUACUCGCUGUUUGCGAUAUACGGUAAGCGGCCAAGCGAAAGCGUUAAGUAUUCCACCUGGGG